rnacentral:rRNA from 1 species
AGAGUUUGAUCCUGGCUCAGAAUCAACGCUGGCGGCGUGCCUAACACAUGCAAGUCGAGCGAGAAAGGAGACUUCGGUCUCUUAGUAAAGCGGCGCACGGGUGAGUAACGCGUGGGUAAUCAACCUUCGAGUGGGGAAUAACAGUGGGAAACUGCUGCUAAUUCCGCAUGAUGUUCACAGACUUCGGUUUGUGAACCAAAGCCGGGGACCUUCGGGCCUGGCGCUUGAAGACGAGCCCGCGUCCGAUUAGUUUGUUGGUGGGGUAAUGGCCUACCAAGACUUCGAUCGGUAGCCGGCCUGAGAGGGCGGACGGCCACACUGGAACUGAGACACGGUCCAGACUCCUACGGGAGGCAGCAGUGGGGAAUUUUUCGCAAUGGGGGAAACCCUGACGAAGCAACGCCGCGUGAAGGAUGAAGGCCUUCGGGUCGUAAACUUCUGUCAACUGGGAAGAAAGCGUCCAACCUAAUACGUUGUGGCGUUGACUGUACCGGUGGAGGAAGCUCCGGCUAACUCUGUGCCAGCAGCCGCGGUAAUACAGAGGGAGCAAGCGUUGUUCGGAAUUACUGGGCGUAAAGGGCGCGUAGGCGGUUCAGCAAGUCUUGUGUGAAAUCCCCCGGCUCAACUGGGGAACUGCAUAGGAAACUGCUGGACUUGAGUUCGGGAGAGGGAAGCGGAAUUCCGGGUGUAGCGGUGAAA